GACCCAGCCUGACAAGCCUGACAAACAAAGAGGAGGUUUUCUACCAACAGCAGCCACAACAGAGCGACUCUGGAGGCUUGGAGGAGAAGCAAAACAGCAGACUAUAGCUCCAAUUGCCUCAUCAGCAGCACUGUAGCACCGAGUGAUAUCACUUCCUGUUCUGAUCAGUUCGGCAUGGAGAUGGAGUGAUGAGAGAGGCUGGGGAAAGCAGAGACAUAGAGGAGGAGGAGCAGGGCCAUGUAAAGAAAGUACAUCUGAGCAGUGUUUGAGGAGGUGUAUCCAGGAAACAGUGGCCAGCGCUCUUUUCCUGUGUGACAGGGAGGCAGAGGAAGGAAGGCUGGAGCCGAGAUUAAGGUCUGUGCAACUAACUAGUAACACAACGGCACUCAGUGGCUCAGCCACCCAUUUGAAGAGAGACGGAACCAUCUGUGUGGCACAGGAUCUGUUUCCAGGAGAUAACGGCUUUUUUUAAUUUCACAAAUACUGUACAGCGAAUGUGAGAGACAUGACUUCCUUCCCAAUCUCUGCCUGCAUGCUCCUGUGUUGCAGUACUUCCCCAGACGUCCAGAGAGGACUGCUUUGGAGUGGAGGCCUUAAUAACAUCAGUCUGUGUUCCUUUGUGCUUGUUUACACCGUGGCUGUGAUAAAGGCCUUGGCGUGGGGCAGAAGGAAAGGGAGGGAUUCAUUAUAUCAGGUAGCAGUGGAGAUAUGAAGUUCCCAUUUUCUCUGUUGGCCUGUCCAUUUGCCUUGAUUAAAACAGAGCUCAGCGCUACUGUAGAUUAGCCCAGCUGCUUCCUGUGUCUGACUCUGAUCUGAACACACUUCCUGCCAUGAAGCAGAGAGGGUGGGAGGUGAGAAGGUGGUGCUGGGAGAAUAGGACAAGGAAGAGGGUCAAAAGCAAGUCAGAGGUCAGUGGGCCAGUCAGGAAAUAAAAUGUGAGGAUGGAGAGCAGGAGGUUAAAUAGGCACAAGACAAGGAAGGGAGGAGGAGAAAGCAUAUGUUGUUCUUGGAAGUAGCUGUCAGCACUUCAGCUAUACACUAUUUUGCAUGUGAAUUCAUCAGUGUUGUGACAUUUGUUUCCUAUUGCAUUUGUGAUUGAGCAUUUCUGUGCACUGGAAAUGUGUCUCCCUUUUGAAAAGCAUAAUUGAGGGGGCAAUUUG